CCCAAAAGGCGUUUCAUUAUCCCUCUCGAAAAAAAUUGUAUUCCCGCUUGUUUUCCAUCCCCAAAAGGCCAAAACUACCCAAGUUCAGUUACAUUCAUCUUCUUCCCACUGCACCACAUUUAUCCUCUCAAACCUAAUUGUAGCCGUCGUCAGCCAUGGUCGACCCAAAUGUAGGGACUUGCAUAAAAAGCCUAAUAAUUCACCCUAAAAUCGCUCAAGUCGUGGCGGAGGAGAAGCGACAUUAUUGAAUCGUUCUCCAAUUGCAAGGUUGGCCAACUCCAAUAUGAGUAGCAACGCGUCAAAUCAACUAUUCUUCGUCGUUUGUGGUUUUCUCUUAAAAAAUAUCAUCAACAGGUUGUGCACCGAAGGAAAUCUGCACCUUCUCUCUGAGAUUCAGUAGAAUUUAAGUUCGAAAACGAGUUUUUAAGAGAUAUCCCAGAAAUGGACAACACAGACAGGAAGAUAUUGUAUGAAGCUGUUGUUGAAGGGUGGUGGUCGAAAGCAAAAUACAUAUUGAAAAUCCACAAAAGUGCAGACACAGUGGCAAUCAAUGAAAAUUCUGACACGAUCCUUCACGUAGCAGUUGAAAUGGGGCAGAACUAUUUCGUAGAAAAACUGGUGGAGUUUUUAAAAGACGAAAAGAUACUGAAACACAAAAUUCUAAGGGUCGAACAGCCCUACACAUUGCGGCAAUGGUUGGUAAUAUGCACGCAGCCCAACUCUUGGUUCAGAAGAGGAAAGAGGAGCUGCUGGUGAUUCUAGAUAGCAAGGAAGAGUCACCAUUGGAUAUUGCUUAUGCCAAAUAAGAAGAUCAAUAGAUAUACAUAUUUCUUGAAAUGCCCUGAUCUAAGCCUUUCUUCAGAUAAGUGUCAGGAAAAUGCUAUAUUGGCUGCUAUUUUAGUAAAACAAUAUGGUGAGUAGCUAGUUAGUACUAGGGGUGGUAAUCGUGUUGGGGUUGACGGUUGUAAAUGGGUUGGAUUUUAAUUUCAGGUUCUGGUCAUGUAAAGAAUCACGUACUACUCCUAGCUAGUUAUUACACCGUUUUAUGGUAAUUUAAUGGGACAAUAGUCGAAAGACUUGGCAUUUAUAGCGAAAACGAUGUAAUAACUAGCCCACUCCUAGCUAGUUAUUACAUCGUUUUAUGGUACCGGCUCGGUACCGGUACCCGGUACCAAAUGAAGUUCACCGUGACGUGCAAUUCUCUAAAAACACUAAACAUUUUUUUUAAUUUUUUAAUUUUUUUUGAUUUUUUUGAUUUUUAAUUUUUUUUGAUUUUGUUUUAUUUAUUUAUAUUUUUAGCCUAUCAAGCCCAAAUCCAUCUUGAUAAAACCCAUCUUGACCUAAACCCAUCCUAAAGAAUGAAUGAUUGAUUUAAUUAAUAUAGCUAUACACGAGAUAUUGGGAGGAGAUAAAAUUUAAGCUGCUUUUUUUUUUCUUUCUAGCUAAAUAAACCCAAUGAAUUGUGUGAAAUAAAGGAAGGGCUACAUAUAGUGGCCAUACUAUACAGAACUAAAAGUCAAAGUGAUUAUAUUCCAAAACCUUUGGAAUAUAACACUUAAGCUUUAUUUUAGCCAUUAAUAAGAACCCAAACAUGUUUGACCUUUUACCUCUUCUUUUAGUCCCAUUAGAGAUAGUGAUUUCACUUUGGUAUCGACUGACUUGAAGUAUUUUAUUAUAAUAUGUAAUGGGCGUUCUGUAUUUGUUAACAAGAUUAGCUAAAGAUAUGUCGGAUGUGUAGUUUUUUCAUAACGGGUUAAUUUAGGUUAAACAGCUUUAAUGUUUGCAUAAUGGGUCAAUUUCUAUUUAUAUACCAAAUUAUAAGUUUGUGUAUAGUAUUAAGACUUGCUAAGCUUAAAUGCUUAAUGGAAAUGGUAAAACAGAAUAGUUAUUUUUAAUUUAAUCUGGAAAUGAACAGAUGAAACCACGAGGAUCAAAGUCGUUAAACUUGUUUGUUUCAUUGUUUGAGGCGAAGACAGGUAAAGAGGGGGAUCGGCUACGACUAUUGACGAUGGGGCAACUAUAGGAGUUGCAGCGGCUGCUGUGGAUGGAGCAACUGCAGGAGGUGUUGCGGCUAUUGGUGGAGCCGCCAGAGGGGCACUAGAAAUUGCGGUUUCAUGACCGGUAGUUACAGAUACAGGUGGUGGGGAUGCUGAUUCGGUCUCUCCAUCUCUUUAAAUAGUAAAAGAAAAUAAGACAAAACUUAAAGUAAUGUCACAAGAUAGGUGGGUUAACAAACAGGUCCAGAUCGACCAAAAACACUCUUAUGUCCAAAAUUAAAAUUUCCAUAUUUGUGAACGGUAUAUUUUGCUCCUAAAUGCAGAAAUUAGAGUAGACGGUGCAGAAUGACGGUUAUAUUAUGUCAUUUCAACUUAUGCACUCUUGGGAUUGUUCACAUGUAUAUAAAUCCAGAAAUCAUGGAUAUUGAUGUUUUUUAUAGGCUCUUUUUUUUUUGUUAUGGAAUAGUAAGCAACUAAAUUGCAUUAAUUUUAAGUUUAUUUUGAAUUUCUGUUGAAUGCUUAAUCGUCUUCAUCCCUAAAUCUGUUUUGCACAGCACACCGCACCCAGCACUUGUCGCCGCCACACCCCGGCUUGCUAUUGAUUUUGACCAAGCGAAACAUGGAGAUUUUGAAUUCGUGACACACAUGACUUGUGUCUGAGGUAAAUUUUUUAUCCUUUUUUUUUGCUAAUUGUUGAAAGUCAUUAGUGUUUCGUUGAAUAAAACCUAUACCUCAUAAAUUUGUAGAGUUGAUCAUAUUGAUUUUGAAUUCAAGUUGGUUUUCCUGAAAGUCAUUAGUGUUUUGUUAAAUAAACACUAUACAAUAGCCUCUGCACUUGAAACCUCAAGACCGACAUCAUCAUGGGAAGGUAGAGGUGGCAGAGAAGGAUUCGAUGGAAUUUUUCUAGGGGACAAGGUUUUGGACUGGCAAUGGAAUCACCUAUUUCAUAUCUUGCUGAUGAUGAUCUGUUUCAUCCGCUGCUAGUGCUCGGACAUGAUCAACGGAUCAUUGGCAAAUUUAUCAGAUGUUAGUAAUUGGGAUCAUAUGAAGUGGCUAUUGGAAUGUUUAGAAAUUGUUGAUACUUCUGUUAUUUUAUUGCCACUAAAUUUAGGACUAAUCUUGAUAAGGCUGCUGUAUAUACUGGUAUUUUUGUUUUUGUAGAUAUUAUUGACUAUGUUUGGAAUGGGCUGCUAAUUCUUCUGAUCAGGUUUAUGUAAUCUUCUAUAAUAUGUGAAGGUGAACCCGGCCACAACGCAGCGGAUACUACUAGUUAUCAACUAAUGGGUAAAGAGUCUUAUCAUGAAGCCUCUUUUCAUUAGGUGAUGGCAAUUCAGAUAACUAGAGGUAUUGAAAGACCCACCCUAUCUUUGGUUGGAGAGCUUAAAGUGAUGUCAAAGAAGUGAAGUUGUCAUUUAUUAAUUGCUCUUACAUCAUGCUUGGCUGAUGCGUCGGCCAUAAGCAAUAAGUGCAGGGAACAACUAUAUAUGAAGUGGGAAAAUGAUGAUUAUUUUACUCGUAUGAAGAUUCUGAAAGAGAUUCAUGAACGCAAUGAAGUUUUGGUAUUUUGUUCAAAUGUUUAUUAAUUAUUUGUUUUGUAUGUUUGAUAUUUAGACUUAGGUUGACACUUAUUAAAUAUUUGUUUGCAAACAUUUGGAAUCUUUGGAAGAUGAUUGAUUGAACUUUUUAUUUGAAGUGAUUA